UGCCGAAGCAACAUCUGAGCUUUCCUCUCCUGCAGUAUUUAGUUGGAGCCGUGCAUGCAGCUGUCCAGGGUGGCAAAGCCUGAGAUGAUGGAAUAUAUUAUAGCCCAGGUGCUUCUGGUUUAACCCUUUGAAGUCAGUAGGAGAAAGAAAAAGACGUGGGAAAAAGGAUCUGAAAUAUAAAUCAAAGGGAAAUAUAAGACUCUGCCUUAUACUGAGUCAGAUGAUUGGUCCACCUAACGCAGUGUUGUCUGCAAUGACUGACAACAGCUCUCCAGGGAUCUAGGCCAGGAGUCUUUGCCAGCCCCACCUGGAGAUGCCAGGAACUGAACCUGGGACAUUCAACCACUGAGCCACAGCCCUUUCCCAGAAAGGUCCAGGCACUGGCUUCUGCUGUGGCUGCCUUAAACUGAUGCGGACAUCAAUUGCAGACUUCACUGAAUGAAUCAUUUGUUUCUGUUGUUUAAAAACAUCAAUAAAUUUAAUUUUCAAAAGAAAA